CGUCUUGGUCAAUGAUUUUAGGUGCUUGCACUUGACUGAUUUGACAUUGAGACGAGUGGCGAACUGGUGAGUAACACGUGGGUAACCUGCCCUUGAAGUAGAGGAUAACACUUGGAAACAGGUGCUAAUACUGCAUAACAACGAAAACCGCCUGGUUUUCGUUUGAAAGAUGGCUUCGGCUAUCGCUUUAGGAUGGACCCGCGGCGUAUUAGCUAGUUGGUGAGGUAACGGCUCACCAAGGCAAUGAUACGUAGCCGACCUGAGAGGGUAAUCGGCCACAUUGGGACUGAGACACGGCCCAAACUCCUACGGGAGGCAGCAGUAGGGAAUCUUCCACAAUGGACGAAAGUCUGAUGGAGCAACGCCGCGUGAGUGAUGAAGGGUUUCGGCUCGUAAAACUCUGUUGUUGGAGAAGAACGGGUGUCAGAGUAACUGUUGACAUCGUGACGGUAUCCAACCAGAAAGCCACGGCUAACUACGUGCCAGCAGCCGCGGUAAUACGUAGGUGGCAAGCGUUGUCCGGAUUUAUUGGGCGUAAAGCGAGCGCAGGCGGUUUUUUAGGUCUGAUG
rnacentral:rRNA from 1 species